GUUGUUUACUACUUGUUUCAAAUGUGGUGUUGUUUCACAAGUACUCUCCACAAUUAGAUGCCAAGUACCUGUAUACAGGCCUGGCCAUAUUUUACCUGCUCUGUGAAUGCUGAUUGAUUAAUUAACAGGGAAAGGUGAACAUUUGGAAGAGAAGAAAACAAAAGGACUGAAACAUAAUGGAUCUGGGAAGAAAGGUUCUCUUCAUCAAGUUACUGAUCAGCACAGCACAUACUGGGCAACCAGAACAGAUGCUGGCAAUUUGACCAUACAAGUACGUACCAGAUGAAUACCAGCCAUGAUCACAUCACCAAAUGCAUUCCAGGUAUAAAAAUUUUAUGGAUAAUGGAGGCAUAAAUCCAAUAAAAUGUCAAAGGUCUUAUAUCUGAAAUCA
rnacentral:lncRNA from 12 species